rnacentral:rRNA from 1 species
UACGUAGGGUGCGAGCGUUAAUCGGAAUUACUGGGCGUAAAGGGCGCGCAGGCGGCCACGCGCGUCCGUUGUGAAAUCGCUCGGCUCAACUGGGCGAGGUCAGCGGAUACGGCGUGGCUGGAGCAAGCUAGGGGGCAAUGGAAUUCCCGGUGUGGUGGUGGAAUGCGUAGAUAUCGGGAGGAACACCAGUGGCGAAGGCGGUUGCCUGGAGCUUUGCUGACGCUGAGGCGCGAAAGCGUGGGGAGCGAUCCGG